GACGAACGCUGGCGGCGUGCUUAACACAUGCAAGUCGAACGGAAAGGCCUCUUUCGGGGGGUACUCGAGUGGCGAACGGGUGAGUAACACGUGAGUAACCUGCCCUUGACUUUGGGAUAACUUCAGGAAACUGGGGCUAAUACCGGAUAGGAGCUCCUGCUGCAUGGUGGGGGUUGGAAAGUUUCGGCGGUUGGGGAUGGACUCGCGGCUUAUCAGCUUGUUGGUGGGGUAGUGGCUUACCAAGGCUUUGACGGGUAGCCGGCCUGAGAGGGUGACCGGCCACAUUGGGACUGAGGUACGGCCCAGACUCCUACGUGUGGCAGCAGUGGGGAAUAUUGCACAAUGGGUGGAAGCCUGAUGCAGCAACGCCGUGUGCGGGAUGACGGCCUUCGGGUUGUAAACCGCUUUCGCUCAUGACGAAGCUUUGUGUGACGGUAGUGGGUAAAGAAGCACCGGCUAACUACGUG
rnacentral:rRNA from 1 species